AAUGGUGGGUCUGGGUUAUUUCUUUAUUUUGAUUUACAGAUUGUUCUUGAUUGCGGGAAGAGGAAGUUCAGAAGCUUAUUUUGGAGCGUUCGAGCAGAGAUUCGAAGGCAAGUCAAGGGAAGAUCGCAGCAGAGGCUCAGUUUCCACUAUGACCCUUUCAGCUAUGCACUCAACUUCGAUGAUGGUGAUUCGGGUUUUUUCUGUUAAAAUCUAAAGCAACAACAACAUGGGCAUUUAGGUUCCUUAUCCUCGUU